GAGUGGCGAACUGGUGAGUAACACGUGGGAAACCUGCCCAGAAGCGGGGGAUAACACCUGGAAACAGAUGCUAAUACCGCAUAACAACUUGGACCGCAUGGUCCGAGCUUGAAAGAUGGCUUCGGCUAUCACUUUUGGAUGGUCCCGCGGCGUAUUAGCUAGAUGGUGGGGUAACGGCUCACCAUGGCAAUGAUACGUAGCCGACCUGAGAGGGUAAUCGGCCACAUUGGGACUGAGACACGGCCCAAACUCCUACGGGAGGCAGCAGUAGGGAAUCUUCCACAAUGGACGAAAGUCUGAUGGAGCAACGCCGCGUGAGUGAAGAAGGGUUUCGGCUCGUAAAACUCUGUUGUUAAAGAAGAACAUAUCUGAGAGUAACUGUUCAGGUAUUGACGGUAUUUAACCAGAAAGCCACGGCUAACUACGUGCCAGCAGCCGCGGUAAUACGUAGGUGGCAAGCGUUGUCCGGAUUUAUUGGGCGUAAAGCGAGCGCAGGCGGUUUUUUAAGUCUGAUGUGAAAGCCUUCGGCUCAACCGAAGAAGUGCAUCGGAAACUGGGAAACUUGAGUGCAGAAGAGGACAGUGGAACUCCAUGUGUAGCGGUGAAAUGCGUAGAUAUAUGGAAGAACACCAGUGGCGAAGGCGGCUGUCUGGUCUGUAACUGACGCUGAGGCUCGAAAGUAUGGGUAGCAAACAGGAUUAGAUACCCUGGUAGUCCAUACCGUAAACGAUGAAUGCUAAGUGUUGGAGGGUUUCCGCCCUUCAGUGCUGCAGCUAACGCAUUAAGCAUUCCGCCUGGGGAGUACGGCCGCAAGGCUGAAACUCAAAGGAAUUGACGGGGGCCCGCACAAGCGGUGGAGCAUGUGGUUUAAUUCGAAGCUACGCGAAGAACCUUACCAGGUCUUGACAUACUAUGCAAAUCUAAGAGAUUAGACGUUCCCUUCGGGGACAUGGAUACAGGUGGUGCAUGGUUGUCGUCAGCUCGUGUCGUGAGAUGUUGGGUUAAGUCCCGCAACGAGCGCAACCCUUAUUAUCAGUUGCCAGCAUUAAGUUGGGCACUCUGGUGAGACUGCCGGUGACAAACCGGAGGAAGGUGGGGAUGACGUCAAAUCAUCAUGCCCCUUAUGACCUGGGCUACACACGUGCUACAAUGGAUGGUACAACGAGUUGCGAACUCGCGAGAGUAAGCUAAUCUCUUAAAGCCAUUCUCAGUUCGGAUUGUAGGCUGCAACUCGCCUACAUGAAGUCGGAAUCGCUAGUAAUCGCGGAUCAGCAUGCCGCGGUGAAUACGUUCCCGGGCCUUGUACACACCGCCCGUCACACCAUGAGAGUUUGUAACACCCAAAGUCGGUGGGGUAACCUUUUAGGAACCAGCCGCCUA
rnacentral:rRNA from 1 species